AUGGAUGCAAGAGUUGCUAGUGAUAUCCAUCUCCCACACUUGCUGCACCUCAGCCUUUCUGUCGAGAGAAAUCUGCUGGAUUGGUCUGUCAGUAAGGGGAGCCUUGGCAAGCUGAACUACCUGCAGGAUCUUCAUGUUAGCAUUGUUUCGUCUGCACCUUCCUCGAUUUCUCACUGCUGUGUGUGGUGGUUGGGUCAGGCGGCGCCGCCACCGCCGCCGCAGCCAAGCGCGCGGUGUGGUGCUGGAUGUGGGGGAUGCACGACAACUCGGACGACGCGGGCGACGGCAAUAAGCAGUUCCAUCUCGUGGCCUCCGCCGAUUUCAGCCACGACACGGUGA
rnacentral:rRNA from 1 species